rnacentral:ncRNA from 1 species
AUGGAGGAGCUUGGUAUGGAAACUACUGAGUGAUAACUUUCAAAUUCAGAGAAACCCUGGAAUUACAAAUGGGCAAUCCUGAGCCAAAUCCUGUUUUCUGAAAACAAACAAGGAUUCAGAAAGUGAUAAUAAAAAGGGAUAGGUGCAGAGACUCAAUGGAAGCUGUUCUAACAAAUGGAGUUGGCUGCGAUGUGUUAGUAACGGAAUUCUUCCGUCGAAACUACAGAAAGGAUGAAGAAUAAACGUAUAUAUACGUACUGAAAUCCUAUCUCCAAACCAAAUGAUUAAUGACGACUCGAAUCUUUUUUUUAUUUCUAUGUUUAUAUGAAAAAUGAAAGAAUUGUUGUGAAUCGAUUCCAAGUCAAAAAAAAAAAAAAAUGGAAUAUUCAUUGGUCAAAUCAUUUACUCCAUCGUAAUCUGAUAGAUCUUUUGAAAAAUUGAUUACUCGGACGAGAAUAAAGAUAGAGUCCCAUUCUACAUGUCAAUAUCGACAACAAUGAAAUUUAUAGUAAGAGGAAAAUCCGUCGACUUUAGAAAUCGUGAGGGUUCAAGUCCCUCUAUCCCCA